rnacentral:rRNA from 1 species
AAAUUGAAGAGUUUGAUCAUGGCUCAGAUUGAACGCUGGCGGCAGGCCUAACACAUGCAAGUCGAGCGGUAACACAGAGAGCUUGCUCUCGGGUGACGAGCGGCGGACGGGUGAGUAAUGUCUGGGAAACUGCCUGAUGGAGGGGGAUAACUACUGGAAACGGUAGCUAAUACCGCAUAACGUCGCAAGACCAAAGAGGGGGACCUUCGGGCCUCUUGCCAUCRGAUGUGCCCAGAUGGGAUUAGCUAGUAGGUGGGGUAACGGCUCACCUAGGCGACGAUCCCUAGCUGGUCUGAGAGGAUGACCAGCCACACUGGAACUGAGACACGGUCCAGACUCCUACGGGAGGCAGCAGUGGGGAAUAUUGCACAAUGGGCGCAAGCCUGAUGCAGCCAUGCCGCGUGUAUGAAGAAGGCCUUCGGGUUGUAAAGUACUUUCAGCGGGGAGGAAGGCGAUAAGGUUAAUAACCUUGUCGAUUGACGUUACCCGCAGAAGAAGCACCGGCUAACUCCGUGCCAGCAGC